rnacentral:rRNA from 1 species
GUCUGCGGCCAUGCUACCCUGAACAAGCCCGAUCCUGUCUGAUCUCGAAAGCUAAGCAGGGUUGGGCCCAGUUAGUACUUGGAGAGGAGACCACCUAGGAAGACCAGGUGCUAUAGGUG